AGAUGAAUUCGCAGCGCUGAAAAGGGUGAGGUUUGGGCACAGGCGGGUUUUUUUUGGGGGGGGGGAAGUGAUUAAUGCGAUUUACAGGCUCCGUUCCUCCGGCAACACCUCGCCAAAACACGGUGAAAAAAUUCCCUCUGCUGGCUAAACGAGGAUUGUGGUUUUUCCCAACUUGUGCUGGUUUAACCCCAAAUUCCCACCCGCGGGCCUGGUGAAAUUUUUCAGACCGAAAGAAAAAACAAACACAAAAGCCCCGGGGUGAGGGGGAAGAAACUCCCCCAACGGUGUUUCCCACCCGUCCCCUCGCUCCCGGCGGGUUGAAUUCAGUAGCCACGUGGCUCGUUUUAAUGGUCCUUGUUUCCCCCCUCUGCAAGCGGCCGCGAAGGUGGAAGCCACCCGGCCCAGAAUGUCUCAGUUUUUACAGAAAAACAUGAAGCCGGAGGGCGAGGGCGGCGAGGCUCAGCCGAAGGAGGAGGCGACGGAGGAGCCGGCUCUCCCUCUGCCCCCGCAGCCCUACCCGCAGCCCCCGCAAGAGGACGACCAGCAAGAGAAGCCCGAGAACUUUUACAUCCGCUACUCGAGAACCCAGUUCAACAAGCUGAGGGGAAACCACGUAAAAAAAAACCCAAAACACCCCAAAAUUCCCAAGGGUUACCCGGCUCACACACGUGCAGCAUCCAGGAUCAGAAACGCUGUGCCAAAACACGAUAAUUUCUCAGUGAUUUUUCCCCAUUCUGCCUCUUUUCUGCCACCACCAGACACCAGAACCGAGAGCAAAAAGCCAGGGGGGCCUGAGGAACAUCCAAGGCCUUCCCGUUUCUUUCUGCCAAAGGCGGACUCGAAACGCUGAGAAAACCCCAAAACCAAGUUGUCAAAAAAAGCCCCGCACCCAAAAUCGCGGCUUUUCUUCCCAAAUCCCUUCAGUAAAAGGUUCUCCAGGGCUUCACCGAGCGCUUUCUCAGGGCGGGAAGAGCCGAGGGGCUUCUCCAGCCUCAAACAUCCAGCGAGUUAGAAAACAAACCGAUUUUAUAAUUAAUUUUUUUUUAAGUUCAGUAAAAAGU
rnacentral:lncRNA from 1 species